rnacentral:rRNA from 1 species
AGCGAACGCUGGCGGCAGGCUUAACACAUGCAAGUCGAGCGGGCAUCCUUGUGGUGUCAGCGGCAGACGGGUGAGUAACGCGUGGGAACGUGCCCUUCGGUUCGGAAUAACUCAGGGAAACUUGGGCUAAUACCGGAUACGUGCGAGAGCAGAAAGGUUUAUCUGCCGAAGGACCGGCCCGCGUCUGAUUAGCUAGUUGGUGAGGUUACGGCUCACCAAGGCGACGAUCAGUAGCUGGUCUGAGAGGAUGAUCAGCCACACUGGGACUGAGACACGGCCCAGACUCCUACGGGAGGCAGGAGUGGGGAAUAUUGGAAAAUGGGGGCAACGCUGAUCCAGCCAUGCCGCGUGAGUGAUGACGGCCUUAGGGUUGUAAAGCUCUUUUCUCCGGGACGAUAAUGACGGUACCGGAGGAAUAAGCCCCGGCUAACUUCGUG